rfam:Bacilli bacterium VT-13-104 contig034, whole genome shotgun sequence.
UUGAAAACUAAAUACAUUUUUCAUAUAAUAGCGAGAAUAUGGCUUGCGAGUUUCUACCGGUUUACCGUAAAUAAACCGACUAUGAAAAAGCAGAGAGUAAUC